rnacentral:rRNA from 1 species
UACGUAGGGCGCAAGCGUUGUCCGGAAUUAUUGGGCGUAAAGAGCUCGUAGGCGGUGUGUCGCGUCGGCCGUGAAAACCUGGGGCUUAACUCUGGGCGUGCGGUCGAUACGGGCAUCACUAGAGUUCGGCAGGGGAGACUGGAAUUCCUGGUGUAGCGGUGAAAUGCGCAGAUAUCAGGAGGAACACCGGUGGCGAAGGCGGAUCUCUGGGCCAUUACUGACGCUGAGGAGCGAAAGCGUGGGGAGCAAACAGG